GACAGAGGGUGCAAACGUUGUUCGGAAUUACUGGGCGUAAAGCGUGUGUAGGCGGUCCUACAAGUCAGGUGUGAAAGCCCCGGGCUCAACCCGGGAAGUGCACUUGAUACUGUUUGACUUGAGUACUGGAGAGGUUGGUGGAAUUCUCGGUGUAGAGGUGAAAUUCGUAGAUAUCGAGAGGAACACCUGUGGCGAAGGCGGCCAACUGGACAGAUACUGACGCUGAGACACGAAAGCGUGGGGAGCAAACAGG
rnacentral:rRNA from 1 species